UUUUAAAUUCUAAAUUCAUACCCUUUCUCAGUGUUUGAUAACAUAGGGUAGGUUUUCUUUACAUGUCCUCUGUAUUCAUUCACUCAUUUCUGUCUCAGGUUCUUGUUCGCCGUGCUGAAGACGUCAUCCACACACUGGUGGACAUCCUGCCCUUGGACAGUAGGAGCAGAGAGCGCUGGGUGGUGGACCUGGACAGGCUGAAGGACAAACUGCACUCCACUGUCCAUUACACCCUGCAAACCCUUAGAGCUGUGAACAGUUAUCACCAUUACUACAAUAAGGCCGACAGCUGGUACCGUCUGGUUCUGUGUGAGAACUUCCUCCAGGAGCUGCUGUCGGGGGUAGAAGCAGACUGUAACCCCAGACAGAGGACCAACUGGGGGACCAUUCUCCCAUGGAGGAAGAAACUGUCUGCUUUCCUGAAGAAGAACCCCCCUCCAGACAUGGAGGAGCUGCUCCAUCUGGCUCAUCUGUCCAGUGUCAUCCCAGAUGGACACGUCCAACAGGCAGGAAAACGCCUGUCCCAGAGGUGAGGGGGGAGAGGGUCUUUGGAAGAAAUCAGAUGAGUUUUGUUGAGGUUGAACAUGUCUGUAUAUCUCUAUAUUUGUUUUUGCUCAGUGUACAUAUGUUGUCAUUAUGCCUGAAGGUGUCCUUUAGACCAGUGGUCCCCAACCGUUUUUUGUACUACAGACUGGUUUCAUGCAUGAAAAUUUUCCACGGACCGGUAAGAGGUGUAGGGGUUCCAAUAACAAAACCCUUUGUCACUUCAGAGCAUGUGAUCUGAAACACUUCCUGUAUAUCAGACAAUUACAAUGAUUCUACAGUAGAAUAUCAACUCACCCUAAUGCAGAAUAAGUCAGAACCCUGGACUGGUUUCCCUGCAACUAGACGGUCCCAUCUGGAGCUGAUGGAGACACACAGUCCAGGUGGGUUCCAUAGAUCCAGUCUACUCUGGAUUCUUGUUUUGGUAACGCAGUCACAGAAAGAUAUGAAGUUGGAAACAGACGGACUUUCAGGGCUUUUGUGGCG
rnacentral:lncRNA from 1 species